CACACUUCCCCUGGUCUCCUGGGUACCAAGCCUCUCCGGAAAUACCCUGGCUGGGCGGGUAGCCGCUGCUCCCAAAGGACGCAGGCCGUGACAGGGCUGCGGGAGCUGAGCCGCGGGGCGGGCCAGGCCGAGGACAGGGGCGGGCGCCCCGGCUGUCGCAUGUCGCAGAGUUGCUCGUGGGAGGGAGGAGGUUGCUAUGCAAAUGGUACGGCCUACGGAGGCCCCUUUACCCAGGGGCCCUCCGGUUGCCAAAACAGACCAUUCCCCGAGAACAGUCGCCUGGAAACGGGCGCUGUCAUAGCAGCCUCAGGGUAACGUAUGCUGCAUGCCUUGGUGUUUUCUCUGCGUGUGUACACACCAUGUGAGUGCAGUGACUUCGGAGGCCUGAAGAGGGCGUCAGAUCCCCCGGGACUGGAGUGACGGUUGUGAGUCACAUGUAGGUGCAAGGAAGGAGAUUGAACUGGUCUUCUGUGUAAGCAAUAUCAAAUAUGAAAAUUUUUUCUAUCAAAUACUGUAAAAUCUGUUUGGGACAUUGGAAUUAAAAUUCUUUGUCUUACCCACA